AUUAAUUGACCUGGCGCUUACAUCAGCAGGUCAAAGCCAUGUGGCCUGGUCAAAAGAAUAAGGACCAAUGAAUUCGCCACGGAGCGCCAUGCAAGCGCUUGGUCAGCCAAAAUGAAUUAAACAAAACAUGAAAACAGAGGGAUUCAAACACGCGAGCCAAGCCUGAAAGUCGCUUCUACAGUGUACUAUGCAUGAAUGAACCAGAGAACCCUAGCUUGGCCGUGUACGGUGGAAACCACCGUCUCCUACCUUGAGAUGGUGGCG
rnacentral:lncRNA from 1 species